rnacentral:rRNA from 1 species
GACGAACGCUGGCGGCGUGCUUAACACAUGCAAGUCGAACGGAAAGGCCCUGCUUUUGUGGGGUGCUCGAGUGGCGAACGGGUGAGUAACACGUGAGUAACCUGCCCUUGACUUUGGGAUAACUUCAGGAAACUGGGGCUAAUACCGGAUAUGAGCUCCUGCUGCAUGGUGGGGGUUGGAAAGUUUCGGCGGUUGGGGAUGGACUCGCGGCUUAUCAGCUUGUUGGUGGGGUAGUGGCGUACCAAGGCUUUGACGGGUAGCCGGCCUGAGAGGGUGACCGGCCACAUUGGGACUGAGAUACGGCCCAGACUCCUACGGGAGGCAGCAGUGGGGAAUAUUGCACAAUGGGCGGAAGCCUGAUGCAGCAACGCCGCGUGCGGGAUGACGGCCUUCGGGUUGUAAACCGCUUUCGCCUGUGACGAAGCGUGAGUGACGGUAAUGGGUAAAGAAGCAUCGGCUAACUACGUG